GAGGGCAAGAUCUUAUCCUUUCUGUGGUUUUUCUCAGGGAGAAAUUGUGGACCAGUGGUGACAUCUGAUCACAGCGCUCUUAUAUCAUUUGGGACACCGAGGAGCAAGUAUUUUUCACUCCAUUCUUUUACAGAAGUAUUAUAUGACAAGCAAGCAUGGUUUUUAGACUUUUCAAAGAAUUUGCAAACAUCAUGUAUUCCCUUCCCUCAUCCAGCUUCUGGGAAAGGACACCCAGGUCCAAGUAACUGCUUGUCAAGAGCAAUAGAUGGUAGUCACAGCCGUGACCCAUUCCAUUGCCAUACGCUGAUGUCACAGGGUCUUGGGCUGAGGAGGGGCAUCCUGCAGGGCCUCCCAGCAGACAGCCCAACGUCCCACAUGGGGGCAGUGCUUUUUGGCUACAGGGUGUACACCCACCCUUGAGUGAGCUUGUCUGGCCUGAGCCUAUGUGUAUGCCAGCAGAGUCUGCUUCCUCCACCAGGAAGAUGCAGAAGCUGAGGCCCAGGGAGGUGGCCACGGAAGGCCCAGCCACGCAGAGCCAGAAGCUGCAGCAAGGCCACGUUUCUUGGCGCCCAUUCUGGGAUUCUGUCUACCUGAUCGGUUCGCAUGCGUGGACAGCUCAGAGGAGCUUGGCGGAACUUGCAAUGCCUGGUAAUAUUGUGAAACUGGCAACUGGUUCCUAAUUACCCUGAAGUUCUAAAGAAAUUUCAAGUGGGGCACUUGUACCAACCUGAAAUGACAUGAACAGAGUGUAGCUCAACAAAUCAAAAUGGAACGAGCGAAAGAGGAGGCCACGGGAACAACGUCUGGAUGUCGUAAAAAUAUGUAAUGCUUUCAAAAUCAUGUGUAGUUAAGGAAAAUUUUGAAGAAAUGCCAGCUGGCCCAGCUUGUGCACCUAUCCUAUCGUUAUUCAUUGCAUUUCAUGAUUUUUACAGAAAAUAAUUUUGUUGUGUGGAAGAGGAGUGAGUUACAAAAUGAUCUGCACUGGUGCCAAGCACUCUGGUUACACCACUGAUUUGCCACCUCUGCUUGGGCUCCACGGGCUGGGUGCCCUGGUGGGCUCUCAGUCAGGGGCCAAGGCGUGGCAGAGUCAGUUACCCUCAGACCCCCUUUCCCAGCCGGCUCCCACUCCCUUGAGAGCUGGCCUCUCUUCGGGCUCUUUUGCCACAGGGCGCUGAUGCCCACUUAGGCGGGCUCGAGUCACGGGUGUUCAGCUGCUCAGCGUCCUGUUCCACAGCAUGGACGCAUGUCACCCUUUCCCCAGGCACGGAGGCUGGCAGGGAGACCUGGGCACGUCGCCACUCCCUGGGGCUGCCCCAGCUCACAGCAGACUCUCCAUCUACUUUUAUCAGCUGUGUUCAGAGUAGGGUCCUCUCAAAGAGGCAAAUAGGUAUGCAGUUUCUCCAAAGGCCGUCUGGGAAAUUCCUAGUAAUUCUGUCAACCCAGUCAACAAAUACGUGUCAAGAGCCUUCUUUAGGCCCGGGCCUUGUGCAGGGCACCUGCGAGUCAAAAAAUCUGACAAGACCCAGCAGCUACCCGGGUGGGUAGCUAGAUGUUCGUGAGCUCGGCUAGAAUUCAGGGCAGGGCGGAAGCAGCUCUAAGAGAGUCCGAAGGAGAGGAGAGGACUUCGCCCUGGGGGUCCGCAGACGGGCUGGGAGCCUCUGUAGAAUCUGAGCCAGCUAAGGAAGGGCAUCUUUUGGAGGCUGAUCUAUCCUGCUCAUGUGCUGUGCUCGUAUCCUAGACCCACCACUUACCAGCUUUGAGGCCCUGAGCAGGUCCCCCACCCCCACCCCUUCUGGGGCUCAGCUCCCUCCUCUGAGAAUUGGGGUGGGGGCAGGAGUCCAGCCUCAUGGCAGAUGUAGUGAGGAUAAAGGAAGGCGGUUUAAAGCCCCAGCCCCUCCCAGAGGAAGUGCUGAAUAAGAGGGGGCUGCUGUCACGCUCCCAGGGUCUCCCACGAGACUCCCCGCCGUCGGAGCUUCUGGACCCCUGUGCACAGUAGAAUCAAGGGCUUAACUUGUACCUUCACCCCGGGAGGGUCCUUCUGCAGGGGCUGAGCUCCCUUUGGGCACGUGGUUCUCCAGUGAGCGGACCCAAUCCAAACCCGGUCUGCCUAGAGGAACAGGCGAGAACUGCGCCCUUGCAGUCUUCUUCAAAUAGAAGGUGUCUCAGCGGAGAUCGGGGAGAAGCUGGAUGGCUCUCGUAAAAUACAAAUUGUCAGUUUUGUUGCUAAUAAUAAUAAUGACAAUAAUUCCUGGGCGCCUGCCCUGAGAUCAUAGUCUGUCUGUCUGCAACUUUCAUCACGCACGCAAGGACUGGCCCAGCACCCAGAAUAAUAGUUUCAGCAUUCCCUACCCGCAGAGCCUCAUCCGGACCAUGCCCGUGACCUCCUGCCUCCUCUCUGGAUUUGGCACCUGGACCAGGGCCUGCUCGGGUCCCAGCUCGCAUAUGUCAGCUACUUUCCAUGUGUCACCUAGUUUUAUCCCACAGCAACCCUGUGAGGCAGGUCAGCUUGUCUCCACUUGACUGUGUCUCAGACAAGGUGAGUGGCUUGUCCAAGGCCACACAGCUUGCAAGAGCCAGAGCUGGGAUUUGAACCAGGUCUGUGUGAGUCCAGAGCCCAAGCUCCUAGGUCCAGCCUCCUUGCUGUUUGACGGAAACAGUUUCAGCUCUGGGAGUUACAGGCCAAGAUGGCCGCCCUGACACAGGCUUCUAAGAAAAGAAGAGAAUAUAAAAGGUCUUGACCUAACUCAGUGGAAGAUCUUCCACUGAGUCACCGCUAUGUCAGGAUUUGUGGACAUCUGGUCACUCCUGCGCCGAAGCCCCUGGAGCCCUCUCAAGGUGGCGAGAAGCUGUUGAGUUAAUAAAAUGCAUUAAGAUGAUUGCGGGGGAAACA
rnacentral:lncRNA from 1 species